rnacentral:rRNA from 1 species
UUUGGUGGCGAUAGCGAAGAGGUCACACCCGUUCCCAUGCCGAACACGGAAGUUAAGCUCUUCAGCGCCGAUGGUAGUCGGGGAUUUCCCCCUGUGAGAGUAGGACGCCGCCAAGC